rnacentral:tRNA from 1 species
UCCCAAGAGGCUUGGUAGUAAAGAAUCUGCUUGCCAAGCAGGAAAUACGGGUUCAAUGCCUGAGUUGGGAA